CCUACGGGGUGCAGCAGUGAGGAAUAUUGGUCAAUGGAGGCAACUCUGAACCAGCCACGUCGCGUGAAGGAUGACGGCCCUACGGGUUGUAAACUUCUUUUGUAAGGGAAUAAAGUUAGUUACGUGUAACUAUUUGCAUGUACCUUACGAAUAAGGAUCGGCUAACUCCGUGCCAGCAGCCGCGGUAAUACGGAGGAUCCAAGCGUUAUCCGGAUUUAUUGGGUUUAAAGGGUGCGUAGGCGGAAGAUUAAGUCGGUGGUGAAAUUUUGCAGCUCAACUGUAAAAGUGCCAUUGAUACUGGUUUUCUUGAGUAUGGAUGAAGUAGGCGGAAUUUGUGGUGUAGCGGUGAAAUGCAUAGAUAUCACGAGGAACUCCGAUUGCGCAGGCAGCUUACUAAACCAUAACUGACGCUCAGGCACGAAGGCGUGGGGAUCAAACAGGAUUAGAUACCCCCGUAGUC
rnacentral:rRNA from 1 species